rnacentral:rRNA from 1 species
UACGUAGGUGGCAAGCGUUGUCCGGAAUUAUUGGGCGUAAAGCGCGCGCAGGUGGUUUCUUAAGUCUGAUGUGAAAGCCCACGGCUCAACCGUGGAGGGUCAUUGGAAACUGGGGAACUUGAGUGCAGAAGAGGAAAGUGGAAUUCCAAGUGUAGCGGUGAAAUGCGUAGAGAUUUGGAGGAACACCAGUGGCGAAGGCGACUUUCUGGUCUGUAACUGACACUGAGGCGCGAAAGCGUGGGGAGCGAACGGG